rnacentral:rRNA from 1 species
CCGGUAAACGGCGGCCGUAACUAUAACGGUCCUAAGGUAGCGAAAUUCCUUGUCGGGUAAGUUCCGACCUGCACGAAUGGCGUAAUGAUGGCCAGGCUGUCUCCACCCGAGACUCAGUGAAAUUGAACUCGCUGUGAAGAUGCAGUGUACCCGCGGCAAGACGGAAAGACCCCGUGAACCUUUACUAUAGCUUGACACUGAACAUUGAGCCUUGAUGUGUAGGAUAGGUGGGAGGCUUUGAAGUGUGGACGCCAGUCUGCAUGGAGCCGACCUUGAAAUACCACCCUUUAAUGUUUGAUGUUCUAACGUUGGCCCCUGAUC